rnacentral:rRNA from 1 species
GUCGAGAAUUUUUCACAAUGGGCGAAACCCUGAUGGAGCGACGCCGCGUGGAGGAUGAAGGCCUUCGGGUCGUAAAGCUCUGUCAUCAGGGACGAACGGCCGGUGGGGUGGAAAGCCACCGGAUUGACGGUACCUGAGAAGGAAGCCACGGCUAACUACGUGCCAGCAGCCGCGGUAAUACGUAGGUGGCAAGCGUUGUCCGGAAUUAUUGGGCGUAAAGCGCGCGCAGGUGGGAUCUUAAGUCCAUUUUUAAAGUUCGGAGCUCAACUCCGUGAUGGGAUGGAAACUGGGAUUCUUGAGUACCGGAGAGGAAAGCGGAAUUCCCCGUGUAGCGGUGAAAUGCGUAGAUAUGGGGAGGAACACCAGUGGCGAAGGCGGCUUUCUGGACGGUGUCUGACACUGAGGCGCGAAAGCCAGGGGAGCGAACGGGAUUAGAAACCCCAGUAGUCC